GCAUGGCGGAGUAAGACCAACAGGGAUUGCCUCAGUAACGGCGAGUGAAGCGGCAACAGCUCAAAUUUGAAAUCUGGCCCUCGGGUCCGAGUUGUAAUUUGUAGAGGAUGCUUUUGGCGCGGUGCCUUCCGAGUUCCCUGGAACGGGACGCCUUAGAGGGUGAGAGCCCCGUACGGUUGGACACCAAGCCUCUGUAAAGCUCCUUCGACGAGUCGAGUAGUUUGGGAAUGCUGCUCUAAAUGGGAGGUAAAUUUCUUCUAAAGCUAAAUAUUGGCCAGAGACCGAUAGCGCACAAGUAGAGUGAUCGAAAGAUGAAAAGCACUUUGAAAAGAGGGUUAAAUAGCACGUGAAAUUGUUGAAAGGGAAGCGUUUGCGACCAGACCUUUUCCUGGCGGAUCAUCCGGUGUUCUCACCGGUGCACUUCGCCAGGUCGAGGCCAGCAUCGGUUUCCGCGGGGGGAUAAAAGCUCUGGGAACGUAGCUCCUCCGGGAGUGUUAUAGCCCUCUGCACAAUACCCCCGCGGGGACCGAGGACCGCGCUCUAAGCAAGGAUGCUGGCGUAAUGGUUGUCAACGACCCGUCUUGAAACACGGACCAAGGAGUCGAACAUUUGUGCGAGUGUUUGGGUGUCAAACCCUCACGCGUAAUGAAGGUGAACGUAGGUGAGAGCCCUUACGGGUGCAUCAUCGACCGAUCCUGAUGUCUUCGGAUGGAUUUGAGUAAGAGCAUAACUGUUCGGACCCGAAAGAUGGUGAACUAUGCGUGGAUAGGGUGAAGCCAGAGGAAACUCUGGUGGAGGCUCGCAGCGGUUCUGACGUGCAAAUCGAUCGUCAAAUCUGCGCAUGGGGGCGAAAGACUUAUCGAACCAUCUAGUAGCUGGUUACCGCCGAAGUUUCCCUCAGAUAGCAGUGUUGUUCUUCAGUUUUAUGAGGUAAAGCGAAUGAUUAGGGACUCGGGGGCGCUUUUUUGCCUUCAUCCAUUCUCAAAC
rnacentral:rRNA from 1 species